GCUUACGGCCAUACCAGCCUGAAUACGCCCGAUCUCGUCCGAUCUCGGAAGCUAAGCAGAGUCGGGCCUGGUUAGUACUUGGAUGGGAGACCGCCUGGGAAUACCAGGUGCUGUAAGCU
ensembl:rRNA 5S_rRNA 5S ribosomal RNA